UUUGUGCCUCCACAUAGUGAUAGUAUCUGGUCACAGGUUCCACCUGCUGCCACUGGGUGGGGGUCAAGACCUCUGUAUCCUGAGCCAUCCACAAUCCCUGGCUCCCUGGCUCACAGCUGCUGCUUUUCUAACGUAUGUGUGGGUGCCCUGACCAAGCAGCUAAACUAGAGUGCUGGGAGGGGAGAGGGGCACUUUCUUUUGCCUGUGCAAUCCUGGGGACAUUCUCGCUCUGCCCUCCCUAUCUGCUCUCCUCAUGUGUUAAUUUGAUGAAGACAACUCUGCAGUAGCUUAGCCACCUCAAUGUGGGGCUUUCCCAUGGGCUGUGAGGGUGCAUGGAGAGCGAAGGUGUUCCCCUGGAAAGCCGCCCCUCCCUUCUCAGCACCAUGCACGGUCCCAUGCCCUAGGUCACUGCCAUUGGGGGAGAGAGAGGAGGUCCUCUUACCUCCUUCCACUUCCUCUGAGGGGUUGAACACAACAUCUCCCCAUUCAGACGUUUGGCUACAUGAGUCUCUCAGAUGUCUUUUGAAUUGUCUGAGUGUCCUCUGUUGGUUUAUGAAGGUCUUUCUCAUUGUAUCUUAUGGAGGAGAGUUUAAGGGAAAAGCUCACUUUGCCAUGAUGCUGAUGUCACCCAGAACUUGAUCUUAACUUUUUAAAAAUCCAAUUUAAUUACUUUAUGUCUGCACUAUAUAAGACUUGAGGAGGGAGAGUUUAAAAUCCUUCUCAAACUCACCCAUGAGCAUUGUCUUCAUUAUUUUUCCUCUAUUCUGACAUUAACUAUGUUUAACUCAUAUAUUUGAGUGAAAAUUUUAAGAGUUUCAUGAAAAUCCAUAUUUCCCAAAGACAUUGAUAAAUUCAUCAGAAAAUUAUUUCAAUUUCUGUAAUCAAGUAUACAUAACCUAAGAUUAGCAUAAUGUUCAGAAGCAUAUAAUAUAGUUCAAAACAGAAGAACAAGUUAAUAAUCAGAUAAUUUCCUGCCAGUCAAGGAUAUGUCCCAGAAUAUAUCAUGAACACUUUGGAAAAUAUGGGAGAAAAAUCUAGAGACAUGGGAGAAAAAUCUGAAAGCUCCCACUUUCAAAUAAACAGAACAGAAACAGGUGGUGGAAGAGAGGUAAUUUUUGAAAAUAGAAGAAAACUGUCCUUAGGAUUAAAACCCCCACCCAAAAUGACACUUGGAUGUUAUCAGGGUUAUGUUCUACCACUCCAAGGAAAAACAGAAAUGCAGUAAUACAGAAAGGGCAGUGAGAGAAAAUGUUAAAUAAUGGACGUAUGACAUGACCAAAACUCAUUAAGAGAUGGUGGCAGUGCACAUUGUGAAGCGGGAAGAAAUGCGUCUGUUCAGAGUCAACUCUGGAUGAAUGAAAUUAUAUUGGGAGGAUCUCUUUUAGGAAAUCCAUGCAACUGCCGUUUUGCUUACCUUCUUAUUAAAGUAUGAAAACACAGAAAACAGCACAAGUCAAAUAUAUAAAUUAAUGAAUUUUCAGAAAAUGUUCACAGCUGUGUAGCUGCUACCCAGGUCAAGAAAUAAAACAUCAGGAAGACUUCAGAAGUCCUCCUCUCAGCUUUGUGCCCUUCCCAGUCACUGUUCCUUCCCCUUUUCCUGAACAUAAACAUCAUUCUCACAAUUAAUAUCACAGACAAUUAGUUUUGCUUGUUUCUGAACUCUAUAUAAAUGAAAAUAUUUUGUAUUUAUUCUUAUGUAUUCUGUUGUGCCUAGCUUCUUUCACUUUAUUUCACUCAACAUUAUGGUUAUGAAAUUCACCCAUGUAGUUGUAUAAACAGUUUUGUUUUUCCUUCCUUUUUAAUUUUUUUCAAAGAGCAUUUCAUUGUAUUGGUAUGCUACAAUUUAUUUAUCCAUUCUGUGAUGGACAUUGGGUAUUUUAUGGCUAUUACAAAUAAUCAUGCUAUGAACAUCCUUGUAUGAAUCUUUGGUUCAAAUAUGUUUGCAUUUUUAUUGAGUAGAAUUGCUGUGUUUUCUAAAGUGUUUUAAACAAUUUGCACUCUCAUCAGCACUGUAUUAGAGUUCCAUUUGCUCCAUAGUCUUACCAACACUUUGUAUUGUCAGUUGUUUUAAUAUUUGCCAUCCUAACAAGUGUGUGGUGGUAUCUCAUUGUAUUUCUAAUUUGUAGUUUUCUAAUCAUGUUGUCUAGGCAUUUGGACAUCCUCUUUUGUAAAGUGCCUGUUUAUGUGUCUUGUACAUUCUCUUACAAGAUUAUCUGUCAUAGUUUUUAAUUAAUUGAUGAGUCCUUUUACUAUUUUAGAUGUGAGCCCUUCAUCAGAUAUGUGUGUUGCAAUAUCAUCUUCUGUACCUGACUUCCCUUUUCAUUCUCUUAAUAGUAUCUUUUGAUGAACAAUUUAUUCCUUUUCUUGUCUUUUGAGGUUAAUGCUUUCUGUGUCUCUUUUAAGAAAAAUCCUUCCCUACCUCAAGGUCAUGAAGACCAUGUUAUCUUCCAAAAGCUGUAUUAUUUUAUUUUUCACAUUCCAAACAUGGACUAUAAACAUUUUGUUAAAUUACUAUUCAAAAAGCUUUAGCUAAUUUAUAUGCCUAUUAAAAUGUGCGUGAGUGUUCCAGCUUAGUCACAUACUUGCCAAAACUUGCCAAAACUGUCUAUUAUUAAUGUCUUUUAUUUUUGCCAAUAUGGUAAGAGAGGUAUAGCUUUUUAUUGUUAUUGAAAUUUAUGAGGUAUUCAAGACAUACAAAAAUGAUCAAAAACGUAUUUUUAAAAAACACCCCCAAGUAUCCAAAACCCAGAUUUUUCUUUUUUAAGUAUAGGCUAGUUGAAAUAGAGUCUUCUAAACUUGAGACCAAUCACUUUGAGAGUCAUGGCCAAUUAUCUCUUGUUUAUAAAGUUAGUCUGAGAACAAAUUCUAACAAAGUUACUGGCAAGGCAAAUUUUCACAAGUAGAUGUCUCAAAUCGUUUUGGGAAUGAGAGGUUUACAUGUGCGUGAAUAAGUAAAAUUUCUCUUAUGAAUUAAUUUCUAGGAUGAAAAUGUUUCUAGUGGAAAUCCCCCAGUUUAAAACUCUUGGCAUUAAAGUGUCAUGAACAAUGGAGUAAUUGGAAGGCUAAUGUCUGAAGAAUUAGAAAACAACAGAGUGUAACUUGACGCUCCCAGAGUGGCAUUCCUUGGCACACUUACCCAGUAUAGACUUGUUCAGAAAGAAAAACAGAUUGGCCACAGUAAUAGAUGAUCUUCAACUUCUGGGAAACUAUGGAUAAUGAUGGGGCCUUUCAGCCCAUCUCUUAUCUACUACUGUUUGCAGGUAGCUUCAGGUAAGCAGGACACCUGGUAUACCCAGCAUGGUAGUACAAAGACAUCAGUGCCCUCAGAACAUCAGAAGUGGAAGCAACUCCAUCCCAAGUAGGCAAGCAAAUCAGCCAAGUGUUGCCAGAAAAUAGAGCAGGAAACCCUUAUAAUCUGCACAUCCUCCUCAGGGAGUAGCUUUUGGUUGGGAACCCCAAGACCCCUAAGUAGACACAUUUUCUGUAAUACAAGUGUUCUAAUUCAAGAUCUCUCUUCAGCUAUCAGACACUCGUUAAAGCACAGAUGUGAGUGAGGGAAGUUUCUAAUUUUCUUUGUUAUUUCUAGACCAGGAGAAGUUGUAGAAGGAUACUGACAUGGGAGCUUUAAGUCCCUUGCCUCGUGGAGGUAUUCUCCAUCUCCUAGGUGGAAAUACUGUUGGGUAACAUAUUUAUCAAGGAUCACCAAACAAAAAAGAAGGGCAAGAGUUCAUGCUCAUUUGGGCCAAAUCUCUGCUCUUCAGCAGAAUUAUACUGAAACUUGGAAAAGUAGCAGUCUAUUUUUCUUUGAAAUAUACAAAGAAUAAAAAUCAAAAAUCUUUCCAGUAGUCAAAUAUUUCAUUGCUCUUGCAGCAAGAAGUUCUUUAUAAAUGGAAUUUCAUUUUAACACUAAAUUGUUAAUACUUGCUUAGGAAUUUCCUCUUUAACCCUUUGUCUUUGGUUCACUUUUAAGUACGUAUUAACUUGCAUGUCAAGCUAUAACACUUAAGAGUAAUUGUCAUUCAUUUUCUUAGUACUUUAAGAAAGAAUAUAGCCAAUAAAUGUGGAAUAAGUGAAUUUAGUGGCGUGCAAAAGAAAUGGAUCUGUCAAGAAAAGAAAGACUGUUUGCUGGCACAAGAAGCAAAUUGCUUGUUAUAUUUGUCUUAAUUUUUCAGUGUGUAAGAAUGAAAUAAUAUUAAUUUAGAAAGCAGCUUAAAAUGCUCAAAUGGAACUCUCUGUGAGUUAUUAUUUUGUUUUCCAGCUAUUUUCUUCUAUUCAGAAUAUGUAAUACAUAUUAAAUCCUAUUCCUUUUAUCUCCUUUAUUGAUGACUAGCUGCUCAGUUACCUUCUAAGCAUUCUUUGUCUGUAUUCUCAGUUCUAACUGGAGAUCCUUAAAGAGGGAUACUUUCUCUCAAGUUCCUUAAUAAUUGAGUUCUAUAAAGUCAAUGAUGAUCCCAGGAUUAAGUUCAUCUCAAGAAUUUUACUGACCUUUUCUGUCUUAUUAGUACUCUUUAGUCUCAUCAGAUGUGGUUCUGGCUUCUUGCUUCUUUAGCAUGUUAAAUCCUUUUGGUUUCUUGGCUUAAUGAAGGUUUAUCUCAUUAUUUUCUAGAGCUUUGGAGAAAGUAAGGAAUAACAAUUUAUGAGAACAAUCAGCAACCUAAAGAAAAGGGUAUUUAUCUUAACUUUUCAGUAUUUACAAUCUGUCAUCUAAAGUGGAUCUAACUGGGAAGUGUGCAAAUCUCAGAUCUAGUGUAGGGCACAUUAAAAGCAAUUUUAGAGAUCAAAAAUAAGAUCAACUUGUUUUAAUUGAAAUUUGGGUAAAAGUUUCUUUCCUUACUCUGGCUAUUGUUCACUAAGGUCUGAGGUAUUAAAAUCAUUGAGAUCGCUUAUUGGUAGUGUUCAAAAAUAAAAGCCAAUGGAUUGUUUUUUCCAUAAAGCAACAUUUAAAAAUGUAUUCAUUGAUUUAGUCUUACAAACAUGAAGUUAACAAAUAAAAAACCUGGGUGAUUACAGUUGAUUGAUUUUUUAAAACCUAAAAUUUAAAGUCACACUUCAUUUUUCAUAAAAGGCCAAGUUAUGAUAGCUUUAAAUUCCUUUAUAGCCGAAGUCAAUACACUAAGACCCACAGACCACAGUCAGCUUGCUCCCAUUUUGAUACCACUCACAAACUAACAAUGAUUUUUAAAAAUGACCGUUUGCAAUCAUUUUGGUGUCAGGGUAUACUGACUUUGAACAUUCAAGUGAAAUGUUAUCCCAAAAGAAAAAAAAAGAGAACUCCGUUCUUCUCAUUAGUAGACAGGCAUUUUUUUAAAUUUUUUCAAUUAUUAUUAUUAUAUUUUAAAUUUUAAUAAGGCAAUUUAUUUUCUAAAUUUUGUUAAAUUUUCUAUAAUUUAUUAUGUUCUCUAUAAUGCUCUCAAUUUUACCUCUUGUCCUGCAAAGCCUAAAAUGUUUACUGUCUGAUCCUUUACAGGAAAAGUGUCCCAACCUCUGCAUUAUUCCAUCAGUAAGUGUUAAAAACACACUAAUCUAUUAUCAAGAAUAUAUUCAAUAUAUAUGGAAUAUAUUUUGUGUAAAGCCUACUCAAGAUAUCUCAAUUUUCUUAGCAGAGUUAUAAUUUUCCUAAAUGUAUGAAUAUAUCUUUUCUUCUGCAGCUUCUAUUAAAUCUAAGGAAUUGGAAUUGAAAGAUAUCAUUUUGGUCCAUCUCUAUCUGAAAAACAUGAAAGAUUUCUCAGCUACUAACUCAGCAUAUGUGACCAUGUUCAAGCUCUGCCUGCCUGCAAGAGUUUUUGUGUAGAAACUAUGUUGCCAGAAGAAGUACUUUUCUUGAAAGAUUGCCUUGUCCACCAGAGUGACACAGAGAUUAGUGGUGGUCUCUGUCAUCCCAAAGAGAUCCUGCAUGUUCAGGGUAUUUCUCAUUGGGCACCUGCUAGCAUUGGACCAUGUAGUCAGUCUAUCAAGUUGGGUGAACCAUGCCACAUAGUCGGGAGAGUCUUUUGGGGAUUUGAAGGCCAACAUGGGUACAGAAAAGAUAAAACCAGGUCAGCACUCGAGGACAAAGACCAGAAGCAGCUUGGUGAAUUACCACUACUCAGUAUGGACAGAGCAAAUGCAGAGCCUGGCACCAGCCAAGAUGCAAAGCUGAGUCAACUGGCUCAUCCUCUCUACCUUCUGUGAGUUCAGCUCUAGGCCCUCUUUUCAUGCCAUACUUCCUUCGAGGUCUAUUUCUGUGUCGUGAGGCCAGGAGCCUGAAAAAAUAACGAAAACGAGUCCCUGUCACAGCUGAACCAGUUCCAUGAUCAUAUUAGUCCUACCAGUGCGGGCGGAAACACAGAUCAUAUUGAUGUCCUGAGGCCCAGUGCAUCUGGAAACAGAAAAGGAUACUCUGAAGGAAUUGAGAGGCUUUCUGAAUGGAUUGCCUGAGGUCAGAGGCUGAAAAAUAAGAACCAGAAGACAACACAGUUGUUGUAAAAGAACUCUCCUCUUGAGAUAGGGAAGGAGAAAAAAAGGAACUAGGGAAAAUAAAUGAAAAUUAAUAUCUGAAUUUUCAUCAGAGCUGACGUGAGUUGUGAAACCAUUGGACAAAACUGCUUCAUUUAUUCAAAAGUCACAGGGGAAAAAAUGUUUUAUAUAAGUGAAGUAUUAAGAUUACUUAUGUUAUUAAAUAUUUUGAAUAAAAAUCUUUCUAAAAUAUAUUUCACUUUAUCCUGCAUGUUAAAAGGAAUAUACAGAAGCAGAUUUUAUGUGUUCUUAAAGAUUGUCACAUUAUGAACAUUAAUUAUUUUACUCUAGGGUAGUAAUUCUCCCUAAGGCUAUAGAGGUUCUUAGGACUAUUUAUCCCUGCUUGGAUCUCUAGUAUUUGUACUUGCUUUCUGUAGUCGUCAUGUCUCCUCCCUGCCUACUAGCUGACCUGCUGUCACUUUGGUAUCAUCCAUGAGCCUGAGUCUAGUGACUCCCUCCCUGCUUCUUUCCAAUUUAUGGCAUCUACCUUAUCUUAGGCAGGAAAACCAGACAAGAAGCUUGGUGUAACCAUAGCCAUAACCGAAGUGAAUUUUGAGAAGACAUCUGAGGAACUAAGAUCAUGUGAGCUUAAGCAUGUGGCUGUUUUAGGACCGAGAUUGGCUGCUCAUUGACUUUAUUUUGGAGAAGAAGGUGGGAAGGAGCUUGCUUUGAGGCUCUGGACUGCAUUCUGGAUAGUAAACAUCGUGACAUUACUUAUUUCUGUAUGUCAGUUAACGUGUUUGAGAUUGUGUCUUCACUUUUACAAAUAUAAAAGGGAGCUGUAGAGCAUGUUUCAGAAGCCAAUCCUGUGAUGCUGUGCUUUAUAAUUGAAAUCUUAUUGUCCAUUUUAUAUUACUUGUGAAUAAAUACUUUCAUUAAUUACAGGAAUGUAUUCUUUCUUCAUAUGAUAGGUUAUGUGUCAAAGACAAUUCUCUUUGUGGGAAGUGUAGUAGACAUGCAUAGUCAUAGUUAUAUUUGCAUCAAAAUCUACACUUUGAAUAAUGUACAGUUAAGCCAAUAAUUCUCUUCUUUCAGUUCCCCAUAAGGCUUUGAGAGAAGUGAGGCAAAAAGUGCUGGUUUUAGGGACUGGCCCCAUGGCCUAGUGGUUAAGUUCAGCGCACUCUGCGUCAGCGGUCCGUGUUCAUGGGUUCAC